AGCAUUUAACCACAUGAGUGCAACAUGAGCAGUAAUUUAUAUUUUUGAGCAGCAAAAGCUGAACAGAUGGCUUUUGGUUGCAUAAUGUCAAAAGGGUUUUGAGUUAAUUGGCUACCCCCAUUUCCAGUUUUAAUUCAUCUACCGAGGAUGGCCACCAGUGUGAACACCAGCAUCAUGGGCCCAUACAGCUCCCCAGCAAUCUUCUAUAGUUGGAAAAUAGGAGCAGCGAAAACAUUUAAUAUUUCCUUUUAAUUGGCCAGCUGGCCCUUGAUACCCUUCAUGCCCAGAAACUCGCCAUCCUCUCCAGUCUCCUCUUCAGUUGCUUCCUCCUCCUCUGCCACCUCUUCCUCCUCCUUCAUGCGCUGGUGCAUCUCCCCCAUGUCCUCAAAGCUGGAGCCCGACGUGUCAUCCAUGUUCUCCAUGUCAAUCACUGCUGACCCAGUGCCCUGCAUCUCUAAGCCUGAGCGAGAUCUUAGAAUCGUCCAGCAGCAACAAGGACACGGAAGGACAGGAGAAUGAAGAGGAGAAGGAGGUGCAAAGGGUGGUCAAGUCACCAUGGUGUCCUACCUCGUCAACAACCCCAACAACAUACUGUCGGUCCCCGCACCAGACAUAGAGUAUCUCAGCUCACACACCCACUCCCAUGACAUCUCUCAGGCUCCAAUAGUUCCAUUCCAAGCCCUGGCUAUGGUGGAGCCAGACAGAGUACCCUCCAACAUCACAACACUUCUACCCAUCAUCACAAAAAGAGGCUGAGCCCCCUACAGCGUAAACGCUUCACUGCAGACGGUCUAGACAGACCUGCUGCCCCCCCCCUUCCACCUGUACCAGCUCCUGGAGUGCAUUAUGGAAGAGGCGGAGGGCAAGCUGAACGAGCUGGGCCAGGCUGAACUGGAAGAAGUGGCUGCAGCUACAGUAUGGUCCAUUUUGUGUCUAUCACAGUUUCCAACACUGACAGGAAAAUACAUGCACUGCUGUGAAGGAUCCUGCCUGACCCAAAUACUUCAAAUGGCACAAUUACAUAAGCGGCUGUCUGUUUGACAGGUGUUUAUCGAAAGGAAACAACAAGAACACUAUCCCUCACAAAAACAGUGAGUAAAGUGAUUGUUUGAUUGAAACGGUUUUAUCAUAAACUAAUAAUUAAUUACAUGUUGACUACAUACAGCACAGUAUUUUAUGUUACCCUUUCCUGAUAUGAUUUAAUAAAUGCUGUCUCUAGGUUAGUCUUUUGUCUGACACAAACACUUGUUGCUGAAUGCAUUGCUCCUGAGUGGCACUGCAUUUUGGUGCUAGAGGUGUCACUACAGACCCUGGUUUGAUUCCAGGCUGUAUCACAACCGGCCGUGAUUGGGAGUCUCAUAGGUCGGCGCACAAUUGGCCCAGCGUCAUCCGGGUUAGGACAAAUUAAACUCUAAAGGUCUUUACCUAUCACAUCCAUAAACAGUCAAUAUAAUCGUAACCUCAAAUGAUAUCAUCAUUCUGAACAGUCGUAACCUUCUGCAUCUGCAAAAAAAACACCCUUACUUAUGAUUCAGUACUACACAAAUUAAUUUAAUUAUUUGUUUACUCGCUAACUAAAUGGUAACACGGGAUAAACAUACACACUUAAUACAAUAGAAACAGGUCCCUAGCGGACUGACACAAUAUGGCGGCUUGUUACAAAAGAGAUGGAGAGAGAGACAGACACUUAAUGUUGGUACAUUUUAGACACUACUCUCACAGUAAUCAUAUACUUUACACACAAAUCACCGCCCAUUUGGAGUAAGGAAUCAUGAAUGUAUUUACCUGUAAAUGUCUUGGUUCUUCAUAUUUCUGUCGGAGCCGGGCCUUCUUGGAAAGGAUGUUGGGCCUUUUCACGGCACGCUUGUAAGGCUUUGAUUGUCCAAAAGGGUUCCCCACACAUCUUCUAUUGUUAUUCUUCCAUUCGCUCUGGAAGAUGAGUCUUUGAAGAUUGAUACACCUGGCUAGCCUGUGAUUCCCAGUGGGGUGAUGAGUAGUAAAAUAUGAUGGUUUGAAGAGAGUAGUAGAAUGGUCCCACUUAAUUUAGCUUUUCUAGAUACUUUACUUAGAACAGCUAAUCAUCCAUACCAGUGAUUGUCUGGGAAAUGAUGUCUGGGAGAUCUCUACCUCGUGUUGAGAUUGAAUUCGAACCACUUUGGACGUGAGCUGCAGCUA